UGGUAAUUAGCUACGGAUGCUAUUAGCUAAUCUAAAACAGCGGUGGUAAUUAGCUACGGAUGCUAUUAGCUAAUCUAAAGCAGCGGUGGUCGAUUAGCUACGGAUGCUAUUAGCUAAUCUAAAACAGUGGUGGUAAUUAGCUACGGAUGCUAUUAGCUAAUCUAAAGCAGCGGUGGUAAUUAGCUACGGAUGCUAUUAGCUAAUCUAAAACAGCGGUGGUAAUUAGCUACGGAUGCUAUUAGCUAAUCUAAAGCAGCGGUGGUCGAUUAGCUACGGAUGCUAUUAGCUAAUCUAAAACAGUGGUGGUAAUUAGCUACGGAUGCUAUUAGCUAAUCUAAAGCAGCGGUGGUCGAUUAGCUCCCACUGCUUUUAGCAAAUUCAUCUGUUUUCAAAUUCAUAAAUACUUUAUUGAUCCCAAAGGGAAAUUAAAUGCUGUAACUCAUUAAUUCUUCAAAGAGUUACUGUAGAUAGUGAUGGCUGUUGGGAGGAAAGACCUCUUGUAGCGGUCUGUGUUACAGUGAAUUUGAAGAAGCCUCUGACUGAAGACACUCUGUUUUCCCAAGACAGUUUCAUGAAUAGAACAUUCACACAGACAGAGAAAACGUACCAAAGCAGAUCCACUCUCUAAGAAUCCAAUCUCAACACAAACUCAAUCUAAGUCCUGGAAGACGUUCCGCUCCCUCACAUGCUGCCGAGCCUAUUAUUGUGCAGCAAUGACGCCUUAAACGCUGCUGAACCUGCUGACGGCAGAGUCUGCUGGUGCUCUGUAAACACACCUCUGUUGCUGAGGUGAAGGCCACACUGUAUUUACAUGUCUGACGGAAACACCCUUCCUAAUUACCAUGUGUCAUAUCUCAUGCCCGCUCACGCAGGAAGUGUAAUCACAGCCAGACUCCUUCACCACGCCAAAGAGGCUCUGCGGUUCGAAGAGUUUCUAAAAGUGAAGCCCAUCUGCUUCCAGGGCCCAGCGUCUGAGAAAGACAAUAUGUUGGAGGGAAAAAGCUGCUCUGUAAUCUCAGGAGAAUCACCAGGCUCUCUGGAUGUGAUAUUUUCCCACAGACAAACCACUGAAACCACAAGUUUACUUGGAUUAUUAUAGUUUGGUACAUUUGUAGUUGUUAGGGUGGAAUAGUAGUGCUUGUACACUGCAAAAACAUAAAAUCUUUCCAAGUAAUUUUGGUCUAGUUUCUACUGCAAACAUCUUAAUACACUAGCAAUAAGUCAAAACUAUCUUACCAGUGACUUUUCAGCAAGUAGUAAGAGCCUGAAAAUUAAAAAUACUACUUCCACUGGCAGAUUAUUAUUAUUGCAUUUAUAACUCGAGACAAUGUCUUAUAAGCUUUUAUAUCUUCCCGAAAAGUUACUUUUACUUUUAUAUCUUGCUGAAAAGUUACUGUAAAGUUAAUUUUGUCCAGAAACUAGACAAAAAUACUUGGUAAGAUUUUGUGUUUGCAGUGUACAGUCUGAUUGUACUUGUAUCUAUGGAGUUUCUUGGCUAAAUCGUUCAUAAUAAUCCCAGUUAUCUCCGCAUGCGAACCAAACAAGUACAUACAUACUGGUUACACUACAAAAACACAAAAUUUUACCAAGUAAUUAAGAUAUUUGCACUAGAACUAGAUCAAAAAUACUUGGUAUAAGUUUGCAUUUGUGUAAUAAAAUGGAACAGCACAAGAAAUAAUUACUAAACAAGCCUACUGACAUCUAUUAAAUGCAUUUGGGAAAAGCCUUAAUUGGAAAUGAGAACCUUUUCUUCAGCAGUGGAGUCUUGUGCAGAGAACAUUCACAGAGGCAACCGUUAUAUUAUAUGCUUAAUUUAUCCAAUUUUGGUCAAAUUUGUCACAUUAACAAGGCUGAAAAAUUGGAAUUCAAUUACAAAAAGACGUUUUAUUUCACAUUUUUGACACAAUUAACUUUUGCAACCAGACUGCGAACAGUGAGAGGUCAGAAGGGAACAGAGAAACCUUAGGAAAGUCAGAACACAGUGAACACAGAAGGCAUUUUUCCUGCAUUAAUACCUGAAGGAGAUAAAGACACUUGAUUUGAGCCAGUAAAUCUGAACAGUGCUCUAGUUUACAUCUUGAGAUAGACAGAGGUCCACUCAGGUAAUUAUAAUGACCCAAAUGUUUUCUUAAAGAGUAAUCAGUAGUGCAAUUUCUCCACCAGUCAUAAUGUAGAUCACGAUACUGCUGUGAAUUCACCAAAACAGAAGCUGAGAAAACCACUUAGAACAACUUAAUUCUUCUGUUUUGCAGCAAAAACACAGUUUGGGAUUUUCGGAUAACAUUUAAAUCCAAACUCAAACACCACAAUUUUAAAAAUGCUAUAAUUUGCUCUUGUAAACAUUCAGUUGGAACAGUACAUUACAGGAAGCAUUUCCCCAUCUUCUUUAUGCGUAAGAUUUGAACAAAUGAAAAGGAAAUAUGAUUUUAACCAGCGUCUAAAAAUUAUUAAAGUGAUUUUUUUUUCUUUUUACACGUGAUCCUCUAAAAAGUUAGUUCUCCUAAUGCAGAAAUCACGUGUCAUUGAAGCCAGUGGCUCCCAGGGGCCCGCAUACGUUAAAGUCAGCAUUCUGACAAACAUGUCAGAAAUCAGCAAUUAAAUUUGAAAUUCAGAAAAAAAUUUUUUUAAUUCAGAUGAGAAAAGUUAUAAAUCUGAAAAAAGUCAGAAUUUGGCAAUUAAGAUUUAAAUUUGCAGAAAAAACAAGAAAUUUAGAGGAAAAAAAUUGGAAUUCAGAGAAAAAUAAUUGGAAAUCUCAAAGAAAGUCAGAAUUUGACAAUUGAAGUUGAAAUAUGGGAAGAAAUUUAAUUCACACAUAAAAAGUUGAAUUCAGAGAAAUAGAAUUGGAAUUCUGAGGGGAAAAGUCCGAAUUUGACCAUUAAUGUUGGAAUUUGAAAAAAAAAA